rnacentral:rRNA from 1 species
AUGAAGCCGUCGGCGCGGCGGCCGCUGCUGGGCUUGCUGGCGGCGGCGGCGCUCUCUUGCCUGCUGCUCCUCGCGCCGCCACCCCGCCACCUCUUCCCCUCCUCCUCCUCCUCCCCCGCCCGCGCCCCGACCUCGCCCUACGCGCCCCGCCCCAAGCUGCUCUUCCUCCUGGCCGGCCAGUCCAACAUGGCCGGCCAGGGCGCGCCCACCUCGCCGGAUUCGUCUCGUCAUUAUGAGCAACUUUCAUGUAUAAAGUAUUUUCAUCCGAGCUACGGUCUAUUUCCUAUGAUAUUUCGAAGUUUAAUCAAUAUUAUGGAAUUUCCUGAAAAUUGGCUAAGUCUGAGAAUUGUUCAGUUUUUUAGCAUCACUUAG